CCUACGGGAGGCAGCAGUGAGGAAUAUUGGUCAAUGGGCGGGAGCCUGAACCAGCCAAGUCGCGUGAGGGAAGACGGUCCUAUGGAUUGUAAACCUCUUUAGGCGGGGAGCAAGGCCGGGCACGCGUGCCCGGAGGGAGAGGACCCGCAGAAGAAGCAUGGGCUAACUCCGUGCCAGCAGCCGCGGUAAUACGGAGGAUGCGAGCGUUAGCCGGAUUUAUGGGGUUUAAAGGGUGCGUAGGCGGAUUUUUCAGUCAGCGGUAAACUGUCCGGGCUCAACCCGGGCCGGCCGUUGACACGGGGGAUCUUGUGUGUGCGAGAAGUCUGCUGCAUGCGUGGUGUAGCGG
rnacentral:rRNA from 1 species